AGGAGUUUGAUCCUGGGCUCAGGACGAACGCUGGCGGCGUGCUUAACACAUGCAAGUCGAACGAGGGCCCGGAGCUUGCUCUGGUGACCCGAGUGGCGGACGGGUGAGUAACACGUGACCAACCUACCUUCGGGAGGGGGACAACCUGGGGAAACCCGGGCUAAUACCGCAUAUCGUCCACGGGCCGCAUGGCCUGUGGAUAAAAGGGAGCCUCUGCUUGCAAGCUCUCACCCGAAGAGGGGGUCGCGGCGUAUCAGCUAGUUGGUGGGGUAAUGGCCUACCAAGGCAACGACGCGUAGCGGGUCUGAGAGGACGACCCGUCACAUUGGGACUGAGAUACGGCCCAGACUCCUACGGGAGGCAGCAGUGGGGAAUAUUGCGCAAUGGCCGAAAGGUUGACGCAGCGACGCCGCGUGUGGGAGGACGCCCUUCGGGGUGUAAACCACUGUCAGGGGGGAAGAACUUCGUAGGUGUGAAUAGCGCCUGCGGUUGACGGUACCCCCAGAGGAAGCGCCGGCUAACUCCGUGCCAGCAGCCGCGGUAAGACGGAGGGCGCAAGCGUUGUUCGGAAUUACUGGGCGUAAAGGGCAGGUAGGUGGUCUGUUAAGUCUUCUGUGAAAACCCGGGGCUCACCCCGCGGAAUGCAGGUGAAACUGGCAGACUUGAGACCGGUAGAGGCUAGCGGAAUUCCUGGUGUAGCGGUGGAAUGCGUAGAUAUCAGGAAGAACACCUGUGGCGAAGGCGGCUAGCUGGGCCGGUUCUGACACUGAACUGCGAAAGCGUGGGGAGCAAACAGGAUUA
rnacentral:rRNA from 1 species